rnacentral:rRNA from 1 species
AGGACGAACGCUGGCGGCGUGCUUAACACAUGCAAGUCGAGCGGAAAGGCCCUUCGGGGUACUCGAGCGGCGAACGGGUGAGUAACACGUGAGCAAUCUGCCCUUAGCUUCGGGAUAGCUCCGGGAAACCGGAAUUAAUACCGAAUACGACCCCGGCCGACAUCGGCUGUGGUGGAAAGUUUUUCGGCUAGGGAUGAGCUCGCGGCCUAUCAGCUUGUUGGUGGGGUAACGGCCUACCAAGGCGACGACGGGUAGCCGGCCUGAGAGGGCGACCGGCCACACUGGGACUGAGACACGGCCCAGACUCCUACGGGAGGCAGCAGUGGGGAAUAUUGCGCAAUGGGCGAAAGCCUGACGCAGCGACGCCGCGUGGGGGAUGAAGGCCUUCGGGUUGUAAACCCCUUUCAGCAGGGACGAAGCGAAGUGACGGUACCUGCAGAAGAAGCGCCGGCUAACUACGUGCCAGCAGCCGC